rnacentral:SRP_RNA from 1 species
GCCAGGCAUGUUGGCAGGUGCCUGUAAUCCCAGCUACUUGGGAGGCUGAGGCAGGAGAAUCACUUGAACCUGGGAGGCGGAGUUUGCAGUGAGCCAAGAUCAUGCCACUGCAUUCCAGCCUGGGCGAUAGAGUGAGAUCCUGUCUCAA